CAGCAGCCACGGGAAUACGUAGGUGGCAAGCGUUGUCCGGAAUUAUUGGGCGUAAAGGGCUCGCAGGCGGUUUCUUAAGUCUGAUGUGAAAGCCCCCGGCUCAACCGGGGAGGGUCAUUGGAAACUGGGAAACUUGAGUGCAGAAGAGGAGAGUGGAAUUCCACGUGUAGCGGUGAGAUGCGUAGAGAUGUGGAGGAACACCAGUGGCGAAGGCGACUCUCUGGUCUGUAACUGACGCUGAGGAGCGAAAGCGUGGGGAGCGAACAGGAUUAGAGACCCCAGUAGUCCCUGUCUCUUAUAA
rnacentral:rRNA from 1 species